rnacentral:rRNA from 1 species
UACAGAGGGGGCAAGCGUUGUUCGGAAUUACUGGGCGUAAAGGGCGCGUAGGCGGCCUUCUAAGUCGAACGUGAAAUCCCCGGGCUCAACCCGGGAACUGCGUCCGAUACUGGAAGGCUUGAAUCCGGGAGAGGGAUGCGGAAUUCCAGGUGUAGCGGUGAAAUGCGUAGAUAUCUGGAGGAACACCGGUGGCGAAGGAGGCAUCCUGGACCGGCAUUGACGCUGAGGCGCGAAAGCCAGGGGAGCAAACGGG